rnacentral:rRNA from 1 species
UACGGAGGGUGCGAGCGUUAAUCGGAUUUACUGGGCGUAAAGCGCACGUAGGUGGUUGAUUAAGUCGGAUGUGAAAGCCCCGGGCGUCAACCUGGGAACGGCAUCCGAUACUGGUCGGCUAGAGUAUGGGAGAGGAAGGUAGAAUUCCGGGUGUAGCGGUGAAAUGCGUAGAGAUGUGGAGGAACACCGAUGGCGAAGGCAGCCCCCUCGGGCGAACUACUGACGCUCAUGCACGAAAGCGUGGGUAGCAAACAGG